AGUGAACGCUGGCGGUAGGCCUAACACAUGCAAGUCGAACGGCAGCACAGGAGAGCUUGCUCUCUGGGUGGCGAGUGGCGGACGGGUGAGGAAUGCAUCGGAAUCUACUCUUUCGUGGGGGAUAACGUAGGGAAACUUACGCUAAUACCGCAUACGACCUACGGGUGAAAGCCGGGGACCUUCGGGCCUGGCGCGAAUGAAUGAGCCGAUGCCCGAUUAGCUAGUUGGCGGGGUAAGAGCCCACCAAGGCGACGAUCGGUAGCUGGUCUGAGAGGAUGAUUCGGCACACCUGAAAUGAGACACGGGCCCGACUCCUAAGGGAGGGCGGAGUUGGGAAUAAUUGACCAUGGGCGCCAGCCUGAUCCCGCCAUACCGCGUGGGUGGAGAAGGCCCUCCGGUUGGAAAGCCCUUUUGUUGGGAAAGAAAAGCAGCUGGUUAAUACCCGGUUGUUCUGACGGUACCCAAAGAAUAAGCACCGGCUAACUUCGUG
rnacentral:rRNA from 1 species